rnacentral:ncRNA from 2 species
CAUGCUUGCGCGUGAGAGUUCGCUCGAGGUCCUCGCCGACCGACGGCGGCGCCGAAGGGGCAACACUCCCCGGAACCUCUCAGGCACCCGGAGCGCGUGAGAUCG